rnacentral:misc_RNA from 1 species
GAAAUGCGAUAACUAGUGUGAAUUGCAGAAUUCCGUGAAUCAUCGAGUCUUUGAACGCCCAUUGCGCCCCCUGGUAUUCCGGGGGGCAUGCCUGUCCGAGCGUCAUUGCUGCCCAUCAAGCACGGCUUGUGUGUUGGGUCGUCGUCCCCUCUCCGGGGGGGACGGGCCCCAAAGGCAGCGGCGGCACCGCGUCCGAUCCUCGAGCGUAUGGGGCUUUGUCACCCACUCUGUAGGCCCGGCCGGCGCUUGCCGAACGCAAAUCAAUCUUUUUCCAGGUUGACCUCGGAUCAGGUAGGGAUACCCGCUGAACUUAAGC